rnacentral:rRNA from 1 species
CCUACGGGUGACAGCAGUGAGGAAUAUUGGUCAAUGGGCGAGAGUCUGAACCAGCCAAGUAGCGUGCAGGAUGACUGCCCUAUGGGUUGUAAACUUCUUUUGUAUGGGAAUAACAUGUUCCACGUGUGGGAUUUUGUAUGUACCGUGUGAAUAAGGACCGGCUAACUCCGUGCCAGCAGCCGCGGUUAUACGGAGGAUCCGAGCGUUAUCCGGAUUUAUUGGGGUUAAAGGGAGCGUAGGUGGGUUGUUAAGUCAGUUGUGAAAGUUUGCGGCUCAACCGUAACAUUGCAGUUGAAACUGGAAGUCUUGAGUACAGUAGAGGUGGGCGGAAUUCGUGGUGUAGCGGUGAAAUGCGUAGAUAUCACGAAGAACCCCGAUUGCGAAGGCAGCUCACUGGAGUGCAACUGACACUGAGGCUCGAAGGUGUGGGUAUCAAACAGGAUUAGAUACCCUGGUAGUC